GUACCUUUCUUCCCUCCUCCUCCCUCCCCCGGCGGCCUGGGCGGCAGCCGGCAGUGCUGGGCUGCUGGCUGGAGGAGGUGCACGGCGAGAAAGCUAAGAUGCGGCGGGGCGCCGUCCGUGGCCCGCUGGAAUGAGAACAGCGCACGCGCUUGAGCUUCAGAGAUGUUCACAGUUCAUUUCUUCCACCGCAAAGGUGAAGGCACAGCCAUAAACUCGUUGAGACAGCAAAAUUGAAGUCAGAAGCAUUCCUGAAGCAACGCAAUUGUAAGGUUCAGGCCUGGGUAGCAGAGAAUCUCUUUUUUUUCGAAAAGGAGGGACCGAAGAACGCCCGGGUUGCAGAGAACCUAAUUAGCCAAGGAAGCAAGAGGAGGAAGAUGAUGAUAAUGCAAGUGUGUAAGCAAGACGCAUUUGGAUCAACUGCGGGGUUCGACUAUCUGUAGGCUUGUAGGUAAACUGUGUCUUUCCUUUUUAUCGGGGCAUUUGUUGAAACGCCAAUCUUUGUUGUCUUCUCGAAGAAGGGGAAAAAAGAAAAUGUCGAAUGCAUUGCACUUAACUGAAGUUCUGGACACAUCCCGCUGUCUCUACCUGUUUCCACCCAUACUGUAACACUGAACCUAGCUCAUUUCUUGUCCAAAAAAAAGGUCACCCUGAAGAUGACUA